rnacentral:rRNA from 1 species
AACCUCUGCAAUGCGGGAAACCGUGACAGGGGGAUCCCAAGUGCUCAUGCAUUGCAUGGGCUGUUCUUUGGUCUAAGUAACCAGAGGAGUAAGGGCUGGGCAAGACCGGUGCCAGCCGCCGCGGUAAUACCGGCAGCUCAAGUGGUAGCCGCGAUUAUUGGGCCUAAAGCGUUCGUAGCUGGAUAAGUAAGUCUUUGGUUAAAUCCUGCGACUUAACCGUGGGAAAUCUAGAGAUACUGCUUGUCUUGAGACCGGGAGAGGUUGGAGGUACUCCCAGGGUAGGGGUGAAAUCCUGUAAUCCUGGGGGGACUACCUGUGGCGAAGGCGUCCAACUGGAACGGGUCUGACGGUGAGGGACGAAACCUAGGGGAGCGAGCCGGAUUAGAUACCCGGGUAG